CGCCUCCUGUGGUGUUCGAUACCGACCUGGAUCCUCCCGACCCUAAUUUUUCAUUUCGGGGUCACUGCCUGUCGGUUGCAUGUGUGCAAAACCGUUCCGACGGUUAGCCUGUUGUAACCACGGUCGACCCCACCUUUAGCUCCGGUUCGAGAGCAAUGGUCUGUGACGGCACAGGCGGGAGGCGC
rnacentral:other from 1 species